AGAGCCCUACGGGGCGCAGCAGUGGGGGAUAUUGCACAAUGGGGGGAACCCUGAUGCAGCGACGCCGCGUGGGCGAUGGAGUGCUUCGGCAUGUAAAGCCCUAUCAGCAGGGAAGAAAAUGACGGUACCUGACUAAGAAGCCCCGGCUAAAUACGUGCCAGCAGCCGCGGUAAUACGUAUGGGGCAAGCGUUAUCCGGAUUUACUGGGUGUAAAGGGAGCGCAGACGGCAGUGCAAGUCUGGAGUGAAAGCCCGGGGCUCAACCCCGGGACUGCUUUGGAAACUGCAUAGCUGGAGUGCUGGAGG
rnacentral:rRNA from 1 species